AGCGAACGCUGGCGGCAGGCCUAACACAUGCAAGUCAAACGAAGUCUUCGGACUUAGUGGCGGACGGGUGAGUAACACGUGGGAACGUGCCUUUAGGUUCGGAAUAACUCAGGGAAACUUGUGCUAAUACCGAAUGUGCCCUUCGGGGGAAAGAUUUAUCGCCUUUAGAGCGGCCCGCGUCUGAUUAGCUAGUUGGUGAGGUGAAGGCUCACCAAGGCGACGAUCAGUAGCUGGUCUGAGAGGAUGAUCAGCCACAUUGGGACUGAGACACGGCCCAAACUCCUACGGGAGGCAGCAGUGGGGAAUCUUGCGCAAUGGGCGAAAGCCUGACGCAGCCAUGCCGCGUGAAUGAUGAAGGUCUUAGGAUUGUAAAAUUCUUUCACCGGGGACGAUAAUGACGGUACCCGGAGAAGAAGCCCCGGCUAACUUCGUGCCAGCAGCCGCAGUAA
rnacentral:rRNA from 1 species